GGCCGAAAUUCGAGCCGUACACAACUCGUACCUAUUGCACCGACGUUAAAAGAAUUGAAAUUCAAAUCGCCUCCACAUGACAGGUGCCGUCGCAUGUUCUUGCAUGCCUCUUCGAAAGUGGCACAGGAUAUGAUUCGCCCAUCACUCGCAUUAACUACCACAUCAAUGGCAGGAGUCACAUCCCGUCAAGGGUUGCCACGCAUCAGGUGUCCGCUCUCGCUCUGUCGAUUCACGCCUACAAUAAUCAAUGCUC
rnacentral:lncRNA from 1 species